AGUGAACGCUGGCGGUAGGCCUAACACAUGCAAGUCGAACGGCAGCACAGUAAGAGCUUGCUCUUACGGGUGGCGAGUGGCGGACGGGUGAGGAAUACAUCGGAAUCUACUUUUUCGUGGGGGAUAACGUAGGGAAACUUACGCUAAUACCGCAUACGACCUACGGGUGAAAGCAGGGGAUCUUCGGACCUUGCGCGAUUGAAUGAGCCGAUGUCGGAUUAGCUAGUUGGCGGGGUAAAGGCCCACCAAGGCGACGAUCCGUAGCUGGUCUGAGAGGAUGAUCAGCCACACUGGAACUGAGACACGGUCCAGACUCCUACGGGAGGCAGCAGUGGGGAAUAUUGGACAAUGGGCGCAAGCCUGAUCCAGCCAUACCGCGUGGGUGAAGAAGGCCUUCGGGUUGUAAAGCCCUUUGUUGGGAAAGAAAAGCAGCAGGUUAAUACCCCGCUGUUCUGACGGGACCCAAAGAAUAAGCACCGGCUAACUUCGU
rnacentral:rRNA from 1 species